GAUGUUUCUUGAUGACGCUAACAGGGAAUAAGAGAAGAGGAGGAGCACCGAGAAGAUAGUUUGAUAUUGCACAGAAGGAGAAAGGAACUGAAGAGGGUUGAUGUGACAGAAGAGAUGUGAGGUAGAGGUCGAUACUCAGCUUUGGUGAGCCAUAACAGGAGAGUCAAAAGAAGAAGAUGGUCUUCACUACAUUUCAGAAAUAUUUCGUCUUCAUCCUGCUUCUUCUCUCUCUAACACCCCCCACCCACCCACCUCUCCCUCUGCCUCCACCCAGCUUUGAUCCGCCCCUGCAGCCACGCUGGAAAGAUGACAGAGCGAGGAAAGAGAGAGUGGAGAGGGAGGGAAAGGGGAGAGAAAGAUGUGACAGCUCCUCAACAAGUGUGGCGCACCGGGGAAAGGGAGAGAAAAAAAGGGAGUGCUAUUCUGAUGAUGAGCUUCUCGCCAUGGGAGGAGGACGAGACAUAUGCGGCAUCAAGAGCUGUGCGGACUGUAGAGUGUGAAUGGAGAUAAGGCAACAUGCUGGAACCCUGAUAACAACAGUCAGAGCUUUCUAAAUUACCAAUCAGCAGGAAAUGGUUGACUGGGUGUGGUACACCAUGGAGCCAGACUUAUUUAUAUAAGAACUUGC